GUACCUUUCUAGGUCGUCACUGGUUAUUGACACAAACGAGACCUGGUGACAUUUAGAGAUGCAUCAGAACAGCAUUCCUCAUGACUCGGCCCAGUACAGAAGCUUCUCAGGCCUUGAGAGGCUACGCUAAGCCUUAUCAUCCCACAGGCUCCUCAUUUGUUUUCCUAGCCCUCUGUCCACAACCAUAAAAUUUAUUAAGUCCCGUAACACCUCCUUGAGUAGUAUAUUCAUUUUAUAAAUAUGUUUCUGUAGAAUGAUAUUAAGGGAGCAGAAAGGGAAGUUGUCAAGGAGGAAAAUGAUCUAGAUUUGGCACCAGAUUUGUAAUGCAGACCUACUGUAGGAAGACUCUAAGGUUUUGAGCCAGUCUGAACAGGACAGUACCUUCUGCCAAUGGAGAUUGUGGUGGAUGAUUCGUGGAUAGCCUCAGCCAAUAGGAAACGAAGAUUAACCAUAAAGGAUUCAAAGUAGAAGCAGGAGGUGACCUAGCCACACGGCAGCCCAUCCACAUGUUGAGUAAUGAGCCAGCUGAAAAGAGCAGCACUCAGUCCUCACCGUCUUGGUCCAGUCUUCUCCAUGUGAAGAGCUGUCUGGAUGUGAACACAUUCACGAGAUCAUCUUAGGGAACUCAAACCCAUCUUACAAUAUGAUCAUUCUUCAAUCAGCAAUGAUCUUUGUUACACAAAAAUAUAUCAAAUGUUAGUUUUAUUUCUGUUAAAACUCAUUAAUAUAAAGUAAAAUUUCAGAGUGCUUUUGUGAAACUGGGAAUCAGAAUGAGCCUUUCCUAAUAAGCUGGUCCUGGAACUCUGAAGUCAGAUAUUUGUGGUCAUAGCCUCUAUUGUUAUCUUGAAUUUUUGUUGUUGUUGUUGUAAACCUCUCAACUCUUCAAAGGACCUCUUUGUUAACAUUCCCAUUAUUCAGAAUUAGUUCCAUGCCUGAACUCCUGCUCCCUAGACGGCAAACACAACUCCAUGGUCAAUCCAUAGCUUCACUAAUGGCAACUCCAGUCACAUAACAGAUGGGAACACUAAUGAAUAAAAUGCCCUCUGUCAGAACAAACAUUAUCUAUCUAUAUCUACAUUUAUAUCUAUCUUCAUUUAUCUCUAUCUAUAUAAAAAUGUAAUCACAGAAACCGUGGUUCAUUUUCUGAUCCAGAAAUCAGCUCUAGUGGUUGCUGAUAUUCUUUUGAAGACCAUAGAAAUAAGCAUUUUAGAUCAGUAUUAUCAAAGAAAUUCCCAAAUGCAUGAUCAUUUUGAAGAGAAUACUCUGACACUUCUCAUAACUUCAUCUUAAUUCUCAAUAAAUCUCUCUUCAUCCUGUUAUUUUGUAGUCAAUAUUCUGUGUUCUAAUAUGUAGAGCUGGGAAUACAAGGAUAGUGGGUAUGGGAAACUGGAUAAUGUGAAAAAUACUAGUGGGGUAAAUUUACAUAUGGCAUGAAGAGAAUAUUUACCCAACAAAUUAACUGUUAAAAUUUAGCUUAAGUCAUGCCUAUAAGGUAUAUAAAUUCUUUAAUUUGCUGAAUUCUUCUUCUUUUGAUACUUUUUUCUGUAGGUCAUUUUAAACGUUUCUUGCUUUAUUCUCUCUCCACUAAUUAGUCGUUACAUUUUCAACAAUAUUUUGUAGGGUAACAAGUGAGUUACUUUUCGCAUUUGAAAUUUCAACAACCAGACCAAGAAAGCUCAAGCUACUUUCCUUUAAGUAGUUUCUGGCAAAGAAUUCUGACGUAGGUAACUUACUGUUUACAUGCUACAUCCUGCCGAGUUCUGGAUUUGGACUUGGAGAAUCUGUGAUAGAGAAAUUCUUAAAUGUUUAGCUCAGUUUGAACUAAUGUUUUUGUUUGGAAUUUGCACGUAAUUUUUUCCAAAUAAACUAUAUGAGAAAAUCG
rnacentral:lncRNA from 1 species